rnacentral:tRNA from 1 species
CGCGGCGUGGAGCAGUGGUAGCUCGUCGGGCUCAUAACCCGAAGGUCAGAGGUUCGAAUCCUCUCGCCGCUACCA